rnacentral:rRNA from 1 species
UACGUAGGGUGCAGGCGUUAAUCGGAAUUACUGGGCGUAAAGCGUGCGCAGGCGGUCUUUUAAGUCAGAUGUGAAAUCCCCGGGCUUAACCUGGGAACUGCACUUGUGACUGCACAGCUGGAGUACGGCAGAGGGGGAUGGAAUUCCGCGUGUAGCAGUGAAAUGCGUAGAUAUGCGGAGGAACACCGAUGGCGAAGGCAGUCCCCUGGGCCUGUACUGACGCUCAUGCACGAAAGCGUGGGGAGCAAACAGG